rnacentral:rRNA from 1 species
GAUGAACGCUGGCGGCGUGCCUAAUACAUGCAAGUCGAGCGAACGGACGAGAAGCUUGCUUCUCUGAUGUUAGCGGCGGACGGGUGAGUAACACGUGGAUAACCUACCUAUAAGACUGGGAUAACUUCGGGAAACCGUAGCUAAUACCGGAUAAUAUUUUGAACCGCAUGGUUCAAAAGUGAAAGACGGUCUUGCUGUCACUUAUAGAUGGAUCCGCGCUGCAUUAGCUAGUUGGUAAGGUAACGGCUUACCAAGGCAACGAUGCAUAGCCGACCUGAGAGGGUGAUCGGCCACACUGGAACUGAGACACGGUCCAGACUCCUACGGGAGGCAGCAGUAGGGAAUCUUCCGCAAUGGGCGAAAGCCUGACGGAGCAACGCCGCGUGAGUGAUGAAGGUCUUCGGAUCGUAAAACUCUGUUAUUGGGGAAGAACAUAUGUGUAAGUAACUGUGCACAUCUUGACGGUACCUAAUCAGAAAGCCACGGCUAACUACGUG